rnacentral:rRNA from 1 species
UUAAAAAGCUCGUAGUUGAACCUUGGGUCUGGCUGGCCGGUCCGCCUCACCGCGAGUACUGGUCCGGCUGGACCUUUCCUUCUGGGGAACCUCAUGGCCUUCACUGGCUGUGGGGGGAACCAGGACUUUUACUGUGAAAAAAUUAGAGUGUUCAAAGCAGGCCUUUGCUCGAAUACAUUAGCAUGGAAUAAUAGAAUAGGACGUGUGGUUCUAUUUUGUUGGUUUCUAGGACCGCCGUAAUGAUUAAUAGGGAUAGUCGGGGG